rnacentral:rRNA from 1 species
UGGGGAAUAUUGGACAAUGGGCGGAAGCCUGAUCCAGCAACGCCGCGUGAGGGAUGACGGCCUUCGGGUUGUAAACCUCUUUCAGCACAGACGAAGCGCAAGUGACGGUAUGUGCAGAAGAAGGACCGGCCAACUACGUGCCAGCAGCCGCGGUAAUACGUAGGGUCCGAGCGUUGUCCGGAAUUAUUGGGCGUAAAGGGCUCGUAGGCGGUUUGUCGCGUCGGGAGUGAAAACCUACAGCUUAACUGUGGGCUUGCUUUCGAUACGGGCAGACUUGAGGCAUGCAGGGGAGAACGGAAUUCCUGGUGUAGCGGUGAAAUGCGCGAGAUAU